rnacentral:lncRNA from 1 species
GGUCAGACCAGCCCGAGAGGGACCUGGUGCCUGUACCCAGGCUUCUGUCGCUCUGUCGCCUGCGCUAUGCCCUGCUGUAGUCACAGGAGCUGUAGAGAGGACCCCGGUACAUCUGAAAGCCGGGAAAUGCAGGCUGGAGUUCAGUGGCACAACCUCGGCUCACCGCAGCCUCUGCCUUUCAGGUUCAAGCAAUUCUCCUGUCUCAGCCUCCUGAGUAGCUGGGAUUACAGGCAUGUGCCACCACACCUGGCUAAUUUUGUAUUUUUAGUAGAGACAAGGUUUCUCCAUGUUGGUCAGACUGGUCUCCAACUCCAACCUCAGGUGAUCGACCUGCCUCGGCCUCCAAAAGUGCUGGGCUUAUAGGCAUGAGCCACAGUGCCCGGCCAAGAUGUUAUUUUCUAAGUAUAAAUAAUAUUUCAAUGUAUUGUGUCCGGAAUUGGUGGGUUCUUGGUGUCACUGACUUCAAAAAUGAAGCCGUGGACCCUUGCGGAGUGAAGCUGCAGACCUUCGUGGUGAGUGUUAACAGCUCUUAAGGCAGCGCGUCUGGAGUUCUUCGUUCCUCCUGGUGGGCUCGUGAUCUCGCUGGCUUCAGGAGUGAAGCUGCAGACCUUUGUGGACCCAGUGGCCUUUGAGGAUGUGGCUGUGAACUUCACCCAGGAAGAGUGGACAUUGCUGGAUAUUUCCCAGAAGAAUCUCUUCAGGGAAGUGAUGCUGGAAACUUUCAGGAACCUGACCUCUAUAGG